AUUUUCGGCAGCUUGUGGUUGGAAUGAGUCGGGCAGGUGGAAGAUGAUUCCAGCCAUUCGUCAAGGCGGUCGAGACCCGUCCCCCACCAGAAGUUGUGCCACCAUGCCCCAGGAGCUCCCACGUUCUGCUGAUCGGAGCCAGUUCGGCCAUAACUCAGGACCUGGAAAACGGCUCGGGCUGUCUAGUGCACCUGUUUCAUUGAACGCGCGUCCGUCUCGCGGCUCUUGAUGCUUGCCAUUAUGAGAGCGCGCCGUGGGACUUCCAGAAAAGUAAACAACACAGCUCAGAAAAACGUCUGCUCGGGGCAGCUUCGAAUCAGUCCGAGCGCUACGUGCUCCGGGGAGCUGAUGAGCAGGGGAACGGCAGCGUGAGCAGCGAGAAGUGAGCAGGUUAUUCUGCACGUGUAAUAACGUAAAUCUGACUCAAGGAAAUGAGCGAGAAGAAGGGGAGACAGGAAAGCAGAUGGAAGAAGUUAAAUAGAAACCCGAGGUGAUAGCACCAUUACGCUGUGGGCAGGGAUUUAUUAGCGAGUGGGUACAUUUAUUGGGUGUAUUUACCGCCUGCACAGAGCACUUGGUGCUUAGUCAUCUGCGUGUCGAACUGGGCUCCCCAGCUGGGCUUACCGAGUGGGCGUUUGCUGUGCACCUACUAUGUGCCAGGCGGGGUUUGCGGUGUGGAGGUUGUCGAAAGAAGGGAGAACACAGACUCCCAGAAGUUGGGGACUUGGCCUUGGCCUUUUUGUCCCCUCCCCGCCACGCCCAGCACCCCAGAGGGUUCCCCUGUUCCAGGAAUAAGAGAAUUCGCGCCCGUGGCAUCGGUGCUUUGUUCUUUCCAGCCACUUAGGAGCGUUUUGCUCAACCGCGCCGAUCCUGCUGUCGACUUACCAGACCCGAUCCUUGGAACUACCCCAUGAAGCAAGUACUGGGAUUAUCCUCAACGAACAGAAGAGGAAACUGAGGGAGCGAAGAGAGGGUAGGAGUUUGUUGAAGGAUUUUUUUUUUUUUUUACCUCGAUACCCUGGGUUCGUUGUCUCUCCGUGUCGAAGAGUGAAGAAGAGGACAGAAUUAAAUGAGCAGCAGACAGAGGUUAAUCAGAAUAUACGAAAGUAAGAAUAGUGGGAAAGCUCUCUCUUUGCAGAGAGGGGGUGUUCAAAGGUGAACGCUCCCGACUGUAGGCAAGGGUCUUUGUUUUCUAGGGUUCUGGUCACCCCCGCUUGCCUUCACCUCGUUCCUUCUCAGGCCCAACCUUCUUGGCUAGAUAGCUCUCGGUGCUGGGUCAUCCACUCCUGAUUGGCUCGGCUCCAUUGUGUGAGAAACCGGCCGGUGGUCAUACUGUCCCUCCUAUAACGUGAGUUUUAUGGUUCACCUAUUUUAGUCAGGUAUUUUGAUGGUCGGAUUCCUGAGGGAAACCCGAGGGGGGGUGGGUAGGUGCCUGCUACAUUCUCAAGAGGAACCGCAAGGCCUAAGGGGGCUUGCUGUGGUCAGACACUCCCAGCAUUGUUCCAAAAUGUGUGUUUUUCCCCACCCGGGGACCUCAGGUCCUAACCUUUCCCUCUCUGCCAAAUUUAUCCUAUCUUUGCCCUAUCAGAAGUUGACUAAGGCCACAUGGUUAAGAGAGAAGGCAGGUCUCUGCCUCCUGCGUGCCGUUGGCUACGUUCUUCCUGCCUCCCCAAAGGACACCACGGGCCCAACCUGCAGGUCAAAGCGCGGAGCCCGUCCCUGUUUCUGAUGACCUUCACAGCCAGAUAGGAUCAGUCGCUCGGCGAGGUUGUCCCGCCUCUCGAGAAGUCGGUCUCUGGAAGCCCAGACCUACCCACUACUCCCCAGCCCCGAACAGUUGGCCUGCUAGCUGGAGAGUGAGCCCACGGGGCUCGGGAGCUGAGGCCAGCCCCGGAGACGUGCCCAUGCCCUAGACCUUGCCGGUUCUGGCCGUGCCAGCUCUGGACGAGGCAGAGAAGGGCUCAGAGAGAGGACUCUUACCUCACAGCUUCCUUGUGCGAGCCAGGGAAAGAAACUGACCUGAUCUGGCCGGCUUUCUGCAGAAUGGCAGGACCGAAGUCAGCCUGGUUGGAAAUGAAAGAAUCCCGGGGUCUGCUACGUAUGAGGGUCCAGAGGGACCCCGUCCGCCCCUUGCCCUGCUCCUGCUUCACAUGCCGACUUCCUGACAAGAUAAAUUGUCCCCACCCCCGUUUGGCUUGUGACUCCCCGCACCCACGGCCGGUUUCUCAUGCCUCUGACAAUUGCACUUUGUCUCUGAAUACCCGAAACACGAGACCAAGACUUCUUUUCCCCUUUAGCUCUUAUCUUACUUGGUUAUCUCUUCAAGGCAACGAAGGCCAGUUUGGGGAGGGGGGCUUGUGGGCAGGCAUCUUUUUUCACCAGACUCUGUGGUCCUUGUUCAGACAAACGGGGUUUUCUGCGUGUUUUGAGGACGUUGAUUCACCCCCAAAGGAGACCCCUCUACCCUGGAAGCGGCCUUUGCUUCUGUACCAGACUAGGAGAACAACAGUCCUGAGGGGCCUCGAUUUCUAUAUAAUUCAACUUGGAAACAUUUCAGGGUUCCACAGCUAAGUUAGAAGCCCCAGCCCCCGAUGAGACCUGCUGGCUGGACCCCCACCCCGGGGGGCUGUCGUCACUGACUCUCCGUGGGAUGAAUUCUACCCCCCUGGCGAGAGGAGCUGGGGGCGUGUUAAGACUUACUGAGUUUCAGGAAUUAUUCCCAGCACGGACCAGAAAAGGCAUUUUUGUUCUGAGCCACAUUAUAGGCAAGCGGGAGAAUUUGCAUCGUUAUCAGUGAGCGCAAGGGGAGGCUGGUGUUCGGUUCCAGGGCAAUUAUCGUUGUUUCCCAUAGAGUUAACUGCGCCGCAAAGCGGAUCCAUUUUCUCGCUGCAAAAUAAGGGCGUUGGAUUGUCUUUGCGGUAACCGUGCAAUUAGUUCUUUUCGCCCCGCUCUUUGCCGGGUGCUGCCGUCUUUUCUCUGCGAGUGCGUUUGCAACGGCAUUUCACGGCAAAUCUGCUCUCACUCUGUUGCAAAGUCAGAGGAUAUGCUGGCUGACUCUGUGGUACCUGAACUCAAGGGCCCCCGUGAGUCAGUGUAGAGAUGAGGAAGCCGAGAUCGGAGAGGAUAAGUGACCCGUCCAGGGACACUCCACGCCAGCCCUGGGACAUCUGUUUCUCUGGUCGUCUAGAAUGAGCUCCUACGUGGGACAUCCUGGGGGAUGUACGAGAGUCCACACACACACACACACACACACACACACACACGGGGCCCUGCGCACCGCCAGCCCCCAGCCCCCCAUCAACACUAAAAGUCGCACGCAAACAAAACUUUGUAACCGAGGGAAUGUUGAGACACGAGUGAUUCGGGCCACAACCCGGGUCUGCUCCGUCUAUAACAUACAGCUUGAGGGAGAGACCUAAGGCGGGGGUUGUAAGAUCAGGGCAGACCCUAUUUUGUCUUAUCCCGAUGAGCUGUCACUUUCCACCCAAUGUAGUUGUGCACAUAUGCUACCUGGCCUGUGGCUUCGACUUCCCACGUGGAGAUGUCCAUGCCUCACGGAAACAAAGACCGCCCCGGCUUCCAACAAGAAGAGAGACUCAGCCGGCACGGUGUGGCCAGUUUUCCAAAGGAGGAGAGAGGGAGAGAAGGCAAAACCAAAGCCACCACGGACCUCAGGCUCCGUGCCAGUGAAUGUGGACAGAGAUACCCCAGCGGGACUUUAUGGUUGGAAAUGGCCUUGGUAUGUGUCUUACCCACCUCCACGCUGUGCAGGUGAAGAGAGUGACAUCGGGUUAAAUUUCCAGGGGAGCUGGGACUGGAAUCAACUCAGGUCUCCUGAGUCUGGGUUCUGGGUCGCCUGGGCACGUGAGCCUUGUCUCCCUGAGGACGUAUUUGGCCGCAAGCCACAGGCCGCCCGAUCCAAAUGGCUC
rnacentral:lncRNA from 1 species